GGACAGGGGACUUUGCUGCGUCGCUGUCUUCUCAUGGUGCACGAAGGGACAUCUGCAGAGUGGCUGCUCAGACGAUGUGUUAGAGAUGCUUCUGCUCAGCUACUUUGAGGAGCAGUCCAUGUUCCUCCAUGUAAAAGAUAGAUGUCUGGCAGAAGAGGUCCAACUGGAGCAAGUGCUUCUGACACCCACUGUUAUUGUCUGUCCUGCUAUUCCUCAACUAGGUACAUGCUGA